rnacentral:misc_RNA from 1 species
CAACCGUCGAGCUCUGCUUGGUGUUGGGCCUCCGUCCCUACGUGGAUGGGCCUCAAAGUCAUCGGCGGCUGAGCGAACGGCUUCUAGCGUAGUAGAAAUUAACUCGCUGGGAGGGCCGACCUCAGGUAGCUGUCAAAUACGUGCCCCGCGCACAUCCAAGG